GACAACCUGCUUCUAAAUUGCUCAGCACACUCAGAGAUGCUGGGUUCAAGGCAGCUGAAGCUGCAUGCCCCUGUCUGAGGGGGAAUCCUUGGCCCCUGCCUUCUCAGGGCCCAGGUGGACCUUAUGUGAUUCAGGUCUGACUCUACCUGGCUCCCUGGUGUGGACUAGAGGACUCUGAAACUGACAUGCCUCUCCACAAUGCCCUGGUGAUAGCGACUGCCAUGGAGAAAGCCUGUGCCCACUGUCUCCACAAAUGCCAGGUUCAGCCACAGCCCAUUAAUAGUAAGGAAAUGAAGCCAGCAGCCACACAUUGUUUCUAUCCCCAAACCCACACUCUGUGUCAAACCCACAAUAGCUAUUGCUAUGCUAGGUCAGCUCUGCGGGACACCAGGAAUUUAACCAUCAUGUCUCCUGAAAGUCUUCAAUUAAUAUGUCUAAUUAUUACCAAGCACUACAUUGAAAUUAGUAGAAGAAAACAUGACCAGAGGUUGGAUUUUGUUUGACUAGGUUUAAACUACUUUGGCUUUUACAUAUGACUGAAAGCAAAUAAGCUAAAAUUUAGUAAGAUAUUUAGUAUACCUCUCCUAGUCAGCUGGUAGAAAACCAUUUGCGAAUUCAGUGUUUGCUGUUAGUAUUGGGACAGACUUCAUGGAAACCAGUGAUCGACCACACCAAAUUCUAUGGGAUGAAUGAUCACAUAUGAAAGGGAACACCAGUGUUGAAAAGACACAGAUUUUAUCCUUGCCAUGAUUUGGUAACAUGUUCAAACACAAAGAGAAGGCUCACAAGGAACACACCAAACAGCUAGGCUUAUUCCUCAUUCAUUCAACGGGCACCUUGGAACACCUACUCAGUAU
rnacentral:lncRNA from 1 species